rnacentral:rRNA from 1 species
GAUGAACGCUGGCGGCGUGCCUAAUACAUGCAAGUCGAGCGAACAGACGAGGAGCUUGCUCCUCUGACGUUAGCGGCGGACGGGUGAGUAACACGUGGAUAACCUACCUAUAAGGCUGGGAUAACUUCGGGAAACCGGAGCUAAUACCGGAUAAUAUAUUGAACCGCAUGGUUCAAUAGUGAAAGACGGUUUUGCUGUCACUUAUAGAUGGAUCCGCGCCGCAUUAGCUAGUUGGUAAGGUAACGGCUUACCAAGGCAACGAUGCGUAGCCGACCUGAGAGGGUGAUCGGCCACACUGGAACUGAGACACGGUCCAGACCCCUACGGGAGGCAGCAGUAGGGAAUCUUCCGCAAUGGGCGAAAGCCUGACGGAGCAACGCCGCGUGAGUGAUGAAGGUCUUCGGAUCGUAAAACUCUGUUAUUAGGGAAGAACAAAUGUGUAAGUAACUAUGCACGUCUUGACGGUACCUAAUCAGAAAGCCACGGCUAACUACGUG